GUGGGGAAUCUUCCGCAAUGGGCGAAAGCCUGACGGAGCAACGCCGCGUGAACGAGGAAGGUCUUCGGAUCGUAAAGUUCUGUUGCAGGGGACGAACGGCACUAUAGCCAAUAAGUAUAGUGAAUGACGGUACCCUGUUAGAAAGCCACGGCUAACUACGUGCCAGCAGCCGCGGUAAUACGUAGGCGGCAAGCGUUGUCCGGAAUCAUUGGGCGUAAAGGGAGCGCAGGCGGAACAUUAAGCGGAUCUUAAAAGUGCGGGGCUCAACCCCGUGAUGGGGUCCGAACUGAGGUUCUUGAGUGCAGGAGAGGAAAGCGGAAUUCCCAGUGUAGCGGUGAAAUGCGUAGAUAUUGGGAAGAACACCAGUGGCGAAGGCGGCUUUCUGGACUGUAACUGACGCUGAGGCUCGAAAGCCAGGGUAGCGAACGGGAUUAGAAACCCGUGUAGUCC
rnacentral:rRNA from 1 species